rnacentral:lncRNA from 1 species
UAUUUUAUUAUUUAGGCAAUAAUGGAUUUCAAACAGAUAAGUUGACAUGUUGAGGAAAGUUCAACAAAAUGGGUGCUUUGAUAGCAACCUUUCGGAAUCGGAUACGACUUGUUUGAAAAUGAAUUUUCAUACAUCUGGAGCAAUGGCGCUAAAAUGAAAAAAUGAACCACACAUGGAGGCAUGCCCCAGCUACUUGGGAGGCUGAGGCAGGAAGAGUGUGAACUGGAGGCCAGUCUGGGCAACACAGUAAGACCCUGUCUCUUGUAAGGAAAAUAAGGGGGCUGAGGAUGUAGUUCAGUGGUAAAGCACUUGCUUAGCAUGCUGAGGCCCUAGGUUUGACCCCAGCACUACAAAAGAAAAUAUGCAGAAAAAGAUAACAUGAUGCCUGAAGUAUUCUUGGAUGUUGUGCUAAGUUUAGGGCUAAACAAGGUAGAAAAGUUCCUGCCUUUGGCCCUUAGAGACUGAGGUAGAGCCCAAUUAGUUAACUAUGGUGACAGAUGCCAAGUACUAUAAUAACAAUGCAGUUGCUAUAGAAUGAACUUGGCUUGAGGAGCAGGGAAGACUUCCUUAAUAAUAUCCAAAUAGGGGGCUGGGGAUUUAGCUCAGGCAAAGCGCUUGCCUGGCAAGUGCAAGGUCAUGAGUUCGAUUCCUGGUACUGGAAGAAAAGACAAAAAAAAAAUCCAAAUAGAAAAAUAAAAAGUGAAUAAAAUUGGUCAGCUGAAGGGUGGACAGAACUGUGUGGGGCUCUGAUUUGGCUGUAAAGUGGCAACGUUCUCUACUCUGCAGCUCCUAACUGUCUUCCACAACUCAGUAGACUGCAGUUUCACCAAGCACUUUCCCUGAGUCUUUUAUGUAUAUGACUUUUUUUGAACUUCUUUUCACUGAACUCUUACACUGAAUAAUAUUUUAUAAUAAAUGUGAACUUCAGGUAUUAUGUCCCAUCUUGGAGACAUUGAAUUGCUUCACUUAAUUUUCAAAAACAGCUUCCCAAGUUAAUUCAUCUUUCCUUUUCCCUAUAAGAAAAGUGAGGCUGAUUGAGCCUGC